rfam:Glycine soja cultivar W05 scaffold1967_34, whole genome shotgun sequence.
GACCUAUUAGUUCAAUUGGUUAGAGCAUCGUGCUAAUAAUACGAAAGUCAUAUGUUUGAUUCCUGCAUGAGCCA